AAAAGGAUUGUUUGAUCAUUGAUUCGUUGCUUCAAAAAUACAACAAAAUUCAUCAAACCGUUAUUGAACCAAACACUAAUUCCAUUGGAAAGUUUCAAGAUCGAGUAGAAUUAGAAUUGGAACGGAAGGGUGUCGAAUUCGACUGGAAAAAUGAACAUUUGGAAGAAUACUUGAGUGAUGUUAACAACAAGCAGAAGUUUCAUUUCAUUCACUGUAUUCAUAGCCUAUACUACUCCAGCCACCCUAUCGACAUCAUCAAACAAUUAUAUGAUCGCUUGGCAGAAGGGGGUGUAAUUAUGAUUGUACACCACUCAG